UACAGAGGGUGCAAGCGUUGUUCGGAAUUAUUGGGCGUAAAGGGCUCGUAGGCGGAUCUAAAAGUCUGACGUGAAAUCUCCACCGCUCACCGGGGAGGGGCCGUUGGAUACUGUAGAUCUGGAGUUCGGUAGAGGGUCGUGGAAUUUCGGGUGUAGCGGUGGAAUGCGUAGAUAUCCGAAAGAACACCGGUGGCGAAGGCGGCGACCUGGGCCUGAACUGACGCUGAGGAGCGAAAGCUAGGGGAGCAAACGGG
rnacentral:rRNA from 1 species